rnacentral:rRNA from 1 species
UUUUUCCUACGGGAGGCAGCAGUGAGGAAUAUUGGUCAAUGGGCGGAAGCCUGAACCAGCCAAGUCGCGUGAGGGAAGAAGGCCCUGCGGGUCGCAGACCUCUUUGGACGGGGAGCAAGGCCGCCGACGUGUCGGCGGAAGGAGAGUAACCGUAGAACAAGCAUCGGCUAACUCCGUGCCAGCAGCCGCGGUAAUACGGAGGAUGCGAGCGUUAUCCGGAUUUAUUGGGUUUAAAGGGUGCGCAGGCGGCACGGCAAGCCGGCGGACAAAUAGCGUGGCU